rnacentral:lncRNA from 1 species
GGUGGAAAAAUGGUUCACUUUAGAGAGGUGUUGUGUUAAUGGCAUAACAGAACCCUGGUGAGAAACCGAAUUGAAACCGAAGACUGCGUUAGGUUCAGGAAUGGAGAGGGGAUGGCCAGAAUGUGUGGUUUAGGCUCAGGACCUAACCUAAACGUGUAGGUUAGGUUCAGGAGCAGAGAGGGGAUGGCGGGGUGUAGUGCUGCUGGGUGCUUGUGUGUGUGGGCAUGUCUGCGUGGCCUACUGUAAUUUGCAGCAUCUUUAUAAAACAGUGGUGUACUGUGUGACUAAUCUUGGAUUCAAAGAACCACAAACUUCUGGCUGUAGUUCUUGGGUCCUUCUGUGCAUAUGUGUUGUUAAUGGUUGAGUCUUUGCUGUGGUGAGUAGAUGAUGCUGGGCUGUGGGGAUGCUAGGCGGCUGAGAAUAGGCCCUUCAGAUGUGUCAGAG